rnacentral:rRNA from 1 species
GAUGAACGCUGGCGGCGUGCUUAACACAUGCAAGUCGAACGGGAAGGCCCAAGCUUGCUUGGGUACUCGAGUGGCGAACGGGUGAGUAACACGUGGGUGAUCUGCCCUGCACUUCGGGAUAAGCCUGGGAAACUGGGUCUAAUACCGGAUAGGACGAUGGUUUGGAUGCCAUUGUGGAAAGUUUUUUCGUUGUGGGAUGAGCUCGCGGCCUAUCAGCUUGUUGGUGGGGUAAUGGCCUACCAAGGCGUCGACGGGUAGCCGGCCUGAGAGGGUGUACGGCCACAUUGGGACUGAGAUACGGCCCAGACUCCUACGGGAGGCAGCAGUGGGGAAUAUUGCACAAUGGGCGCAAGCCUGAUGCAGCGACGCCGCGUGGGGGAUGACGGCCUUCGGGUUGUAAACUCCUUUCGCUAGGGACGAAGCGUUUUUGUGACGGUACCUGGAGAAGAAGCACCGGCUAACUACGUG